rnacentral:tRNA from 1 species
CGGGACGUAGCUCAGUUGGCUAGAGCGCGUGGUUCGGGACCACGAGGUCGAAGGUUCAAGUCCUUUCGUCCCGACCA